rnacentral:rRNA from 1 species
AGAAUCAACGCUGGCGGCGUGCCUAACACAUGCAAGUCGAACGAGAAAGUGGAGCAAUCCAUGAGUAAAGUGGCGACCGGGUGAGUAACACGUGACUAACCUACCUUCGAGUGGGGGAUAACCUCGGGAAACCGAGGCUAAUACCGCAUAACAUCGUGAGAUCAAAGCAGUAAUGCGCUGGAAGAGGGGGUCGCGGCUGAUUAGCUAGUUGGCGGGUAAUGGCCCACCAAGGCGAAGAUCGGUA